GAUGAAGAACGUAGCGAAAUGCGAUACUUGGUGUGAAUUGCAGAAUCCCGUGAACCAUCGAGUCUUUGAACGCAAGUUGCGCCCGAAGCCAUUAGGCCGAGGGCACGCCUGCCUGGGCGUCACACGUCGUUGCCCCCCCAUCUACUCCUUCGGGAUUGCGGGUGGCGGAUGAUGGCCUCCCGUGCGCCUCGUCGCGCGGUUGGCCUAAAUGCCAAGUCCUCGGCGACGCACGCCACGACAAUCGGUGGUUGCGAAACCUCGGUUGCCUGUCGUGUGCGGUCGUCGCGCAUCGAGGGCUCGAAAAAAUUGCCGGGCUUCGGCUCGACUUUCAACGCGACCCCAGGUCAGGCGGGGUUACCCGCUGAAUUUAAGCAUAUCAAUAAGCGGAGGA
rnacentral:misc_RNA from 1 species